rnacentral:rRNA from 1 species
UACGAAGGGGGCUAGCGUUGUUCGGAAUCACUGGGCGUAAAGGGCGCGUAGGCGGCCGAUCAAGUCGGGGGGUGAAAGCCUGUGGCUCAACCACAGAAUUGCCUUCGAUACUGUUUGGCUUGAGACCGGAAGAGGUAAGUGGAACUGCGAGUGUAGAGGUGAAAUUCGUAGAUAUUCGCAAGAACACCAGUGGCGAAGGCGGCUUACUGGUCCGGUUCUGACGCUGAGGCGCGAAAGCGUGGGGAGCAAACAGG